rnacentral:sRNA from 1 species
UAACCGUGAAAGUGCAUCGACUACAU